rnacentral:lncRNA from 1 species
AAUAUUCUUUCUUCAUGAACGAGGGUGGGUACUUGGCCAUUUUUUCAAAAUUAUAAGUUGAAAACCCUAUUUUUUUUCUUUGCUUCGUCUCUUGCCUUUUUCAUUAAAUCUUUAUAGCGUAUAGCACAAACCUGCUCCCAAACCUUUCUUGCCUUUUUAUCUCUACUUCAUUACUAAAUUGAUACAUCUAUUCAAAUUCAGCCCAUAACUCAUUCUUGAGGUUUUUUGCCACUGAUAACCAAGUUGGAUAUGGCCCCAUUUGAUUUUAUAUAGAACUAACAAUUUGUCG